rnacentral:rRNA from 1 species
GACGAACGCUGGCGGCGUGCCUAAUACAUGCAAGUCGAGCGAAGUUUUUCUGGUGCUUGCACCGGAAAAACUUAGCGGCGAACGUGUGAGUCACACGUAAACAACCUGACUCAUGGACUGGGACAACUAUAGGAAACGAUACCUCAUACCGGAUAACAGCAUUAAAUUCAUGGUUGAUGGUUUAAAGUUGGUUUUGCUAACACUAUGAGAUAGCUUUGCGGUUCAUUAGCUAGUUGGUAGGGUCAAGGCCUACCCAAGCGACGAUGCCUAGCCGUCAUGAGAGGAUGAUCGGCCACACUGGGACUGGGCCACGGCCCAGACCCCUACGGGAGGCAGCAGUAGGGAAUCUUCCGCAAUGGGCGAAAGCCUGAUGAAGCAACGCCACGUGAGUGAAGAAGGUUUUCGGUUCGUAAAGAUCUGAUAUUAGGGAAGAAAGGUUGGGGAUUAACUUAACACAGUAGAGACGGUACCUAACAAGAAAGCCACGGCUAACUACGUG